rnacentral:rRNA from 1 species
GCGGGCUGGACCUCUCGGGGUUACAGCCUUGCUGAAUUAUUCACCCUUGUCUUUUGCGUACUUCUUGUUUCCUUGGUGGGUUCGCCCACCACUAGGACAAACAUAAACCUUUUGUAAUUGCAAUCAGCGUCAGUAACAAAUUAAUAAUUACAACUUUCAACAACGGAUCUCUUGGUUCUGGCAUCGAUGAAGAACGCAGCGAAAUGCGAUAAGUAGUGUGAAUUGCAGAAUUCAGUGAAUCAUCGAAUCUUUGAACGCACAUUGCGCCCUUUGGUAUUCCAAAGGGCAUGCCUGUUCGAGCGUCAUUUGUACCCUCAAGCUUUGCUUGGUGUUGGGCGUCUUGUCUCUAGCUUUGCUGGAGACUCGCCUUAAAGUAAUUGGCAGCCGGCCUACUGGUUUCGGAGCGCAGCACAAGUCGCACUCUCUAUCAGCAAAGGUCUAGCAUCCAUUAAGCCUUUUUUUCAACUUUUGACCUCGGAUCAGGUAGGGAUACCCGCUGAACUUAAGCAUAUCAAA